GGGUCCAGACUUUGAUUCUGGCUCAGGACGAACGCUGGCGGCGUGCUUAACACACGCAAGUCGAACGAGAGGAGAAGGAAGCUUGCUUCUUUCAAAUCUAGUGGCAAACGGGUGAGUAACACGUAAACAACCUGCCUUCAGGAUGGGGACAACAGACGGAAACGACUGCUAAUACCGAAUACGUUCCUUAGGUCGCAUGACCCAAGGAAGAAAGGGUGGCCUCUACUUGUAAGCUAUCGCCUGAAGAGGGGUUUGCGUCUGAUUAGGUAGUUGGUGAGGUAACGGCCCACCAAGCCGACGAUCAGUAGCCGGUCUGAGAGGAUGAACGGCCACACUGGAACUGAGACACGGUCCAGACUCCUACGGGAGGCAGCAGUGGGGAAUCUUCCGCAAUGGGCGAAAGCCUGACGGAGCAACGCCGCGUGAGUGAUGACGGCCUUCGGGUUGUAAAGCUCUGUGAUCGGGGACGAACGGUCAGCAGACGAAUACUCUGCUGAAGUGACGGUACCCGAAUAGCAAGCCACGGCUAACUACGUGCCAGCAGCCGCGGUAAUACGUAGGUGGCAAGCGUUGUCCGGAAUUAUUGGGCGUAAAGCGCGCGCAGGCGGCUUCUUAAGUCCAUCUUAAAAGUGCGGGGCUUAACCCCGUGAUGGGAUGGAAACUGAGAGGCUGGAGUAUCGGAGAGGAAAGUGGAAUUCCUAGUGUAGCGGUGAAAUGCGUAGAGAUUAGGAAGAACACCGGUGGCGAA
rnacentral:rRNA from 1 species